GGCCCAAAUUGUAGACUCGUGGCAGAGGCCGGAGGCGUACAUGGAGCAUAGGAAAAGACGGGAGAACCGCCUGGCCGUGAUGAGAGAGGCGUCACACCACCAGGGGAGCGUGCCCCUCCCAGGGUACAUGGACACAUAUGUACGUUUCUUUUUUUGUUUGUUUAUUUAUUUUUGCUAACGCUUUGUUCUCAUUAUGUUUAAUCGACCUUGUGUUUUCCUCGCAGCACAAGACCCACAACAACAUGCCUAUCAGCGAGUCUGUUGGGUAUGCCCUGGCUAACAAGGAGCGAGCGUCGGAUCCGAACAACGUCUACAACCCGCAGGAUGGGUGUUGACGGUCCUUAAGUACUAAAAUUAAUAAUCAAAUAAACAUGAAAAAGGAUCAAUAUGAAACAAACAUCUAGAAUUAGGGUUUUAUCUGACAGAAUUCCACGAGCUUUGGUGUUUAUCUAUUUCUGCAGGGGGUUAUCAGAGAAUAUGGAGAGAAGGCCCACAUGUCAUGUUUACAACGAGAUAAUUACGUGCCGCGCAAUUUUCCUCAAUCUAGAAGAGUCCAGAAGCC
rnacentral:lncRNA from 1 species